AUACCAGGCGUAAAAAGCGUUCGUUCU
rnacentral:rRNA from 1 species